rnacentral:lncRNA from 1 species
AGCUGCUCCUGCUCUGGGCGGGCACUACUGCCUCCAUGGGACCCCCCUCCCCCCAGGGCCGUAUAGUCCAGUGGCCUCUGGCAAAUGGGGAAGAAGGACUCACAUUAGCCUUCACUCAGGCAGUGCUGCUGGUGCCCUGAUGUCUAGAGCUAUUGUUUUAGUGUUUUCCCAAAAAUGUAAGAAAACCUCUUUUGCUCUUUAUUUACAGCCUGUCUGCUGUCUGAUUCAGCUGUGAGUGCAUGGAGACCCAAGUAUGGAUCAGGAACACGUGACAGGAGACGGUGCAAGCACUGCAGCAAAGAGUCCCUGGUUCCAGGUCCCAGCCUGUCUCACUGGUAUUAACACUUGUAGAGCAUUAUUGGCAAUCACUCAAAUGCAACAAUAUCAACUCAAGUUGGAGUCCUUUGGUUCGAAACACAGUAAGUGGAUCACAGUUUCUCUUGGAGGAAAUAGAAACCCCCGCUUGUCACUCUGCACAGAGCAGGAAGUUUCUCUUCUUUGGGUACAUGUGUGAGUGCUAGGUCUCUUCAGCUAUGUCUGAAACUUUGUGACCCCAUGGGCUGUAACCCCCCAGGCUCGUCUGUCC